ensembl:lncRNA uncharacterized LOC107324361
CUGGUCCUGGCACAUCCUGACAGAGCAGCUGUCACUUCCUCAGUGAUGCCCAUCCCACUGCCCCCAUCACCACUUCCUCACCCACUCUCACACCCGUGUCCCUCUCUGAACACAUUGAGCAAUUCUCCUCCUUCCCCAGGCCUGGCUGCAGCACCAACACUCUCAGCCCCACGGAUUUGGGGUCUGCUGCAAGAGAGGACCCCAAGGCAUGGCCAGAGAUGGGGCUGUGCUGCUCGGCUGUGUGCUGCUGGUGAUGGCUGGGGGUAAGGGUGCUGCCUUUGGGGUGCUUGGAGGGAUGGAUGGAAGCACCAUCAUAACUGCUGUCCCUUUUUGGGUUGGAAGUGGGGAGAUCAAGGGGUGUCACCAACACGUGUCACCCUGUCCCUUGCAGGUCUGCAGUGCUGCCGUGCCUUCGAGGUGCUGAUGGGGAAACAGGGAGAGCUGCUGUCCUUCCCAGCACUUCGCCCUGUAGCCAAUGACAUUGUGAGGAUCCUCUGGAUGUCCAAAACCUAUGGUACUCACAUUGCUGAGGCCAAGCCUGGGGUGAAGGAGUUUGCAGUGAAUUUCUUGCCCAAAUUCCAAGGCCGGCUACGAAUCCAUCUCCAGUCACUGUCAUUGGAGAUCACAGAGCUUCACAGCACAGAUGAAGGCCUGUACUCUGCAGUGGUGGACACUGCCUCCAACCCCAGCAGCCCCAGGACAUUUUCCUACUCUGUGAAGGUUCUCGAUCACACACCUUGGACAACUGACAGCGAUACAGGAGGACACAGCAGGAGCACAACUGAACCUGGAAUGAGCUCUGAGUCCCAUACUGUGGGGAGGACCACACUGGGUCCAAGCAAGGGGCAGGUCCCAGAUGCUGGAGGGGCUCCAGGGUUGUGUGGGGCACAGGGUGGGUACUGCACGCUUAAGGGGUAUCUGAUAGCUGCUGUGUUUGGCCCACUGGUGGUGCUGCUGGUGGCUGUGCACGUGGUGACCAGGCAUUGAGACUGGGAGAUGAGAAAGAUCCACAUUGGGCUCCAAAGGAUUGAGGUCUGAGCCCACCCAGCACAACCCCAUAGGAUCAUUGGAUUUAUCCAGACAGGAAAAGCCACAUUCACCCCAGUGAAGCCCUAUGAGGGCAUAAAAUGCAUUUCCUGAUCUCUUGCACAAGUCCCAAACCCAGUGACACUAUUUCCUCCCAGCAGCCACACAAACCCCACUGCAUCCCAGUGUGGGAAUCUCCUCCUUUAUGGGGUCAAGCAUUGAAUUCAUACCCACAGCCCCAUAUUGGAUGCAAGGUAAAGGAUUCAGCAUCUCAACCAACCUCCCACAGUUUAUGAUAAGUGAAUUAUUUACUGGUGACCCCAACUAAACGCCACGUGGCAUAAAUUAUGGACGGGCAGAUCUGUCAAAUAAGAAAAGUUCUCAUAAAUAAGUGAUCUGGUGCCAUCUUCGUGUUCCCAGAAAAUUACUCAUCCAAUCUCUUGUCUAAAUGCUCUCCUGGGAAACCUCCUUAUGCCCGCUCCGUUGCUUUAUGAAUUGGGAAUGGGAAGGUAAAGGGCAAUGGGGAGGGACAACCCUAUGGGGACCAUCUCCCACAUCCAUUCAGAGCCUGUGGUGUAGGGUGGGGGGAGCUGCAGGGAUCAACCCUUUAGGACCUGGGGAUCACAGGGCAGCACUGAUUCUGCCCUUCCCUAGGGAUCUCUAUCACUUAUUAGAGUCCUCCAGCACUACCAAAGGGCCCCUCCAGAUUCACUUGCAGAGUCUCACCAUCACUCCACAGCAAAGCCCUGGGACAGAGGGAAAGCCCUUAAAGCACAUCACCACGUUCCCCAUCACCCAACCCACCGCGUUUAUGUUAAUAAUUGAAUGCCAGUCUGGGGGACAAUGAUUUAUUUAAAGGAAACAGCGUGUUAACAAGAACACAAUCUGAUCCCCAGCCACAGACGUCUGCUUUAUUAGCACCUCUGUCCGAGAGCAAAGCCCCGGAGGCAAACAAACAAACAUGGCAAAUAAAACCCUCUUAUGGAGACA